GGAUGUGAGGGUGAUCUGGCUGCAACUUCUGUCACCCUAUUGAUCGCCAGGGUUGAUUCAGAUGAUCUGGCUGACUAGACGGGUGUCCCCUUCCUCCCUCACCACUCCAUGUGUGUCCCUCCCGAAGCUGCACGCUAGGUCAAAGAGGAGGUGACCUUUCCUGAAUAGAGGAGGACCAGUCUUCGGGCAAGGGUAUACGAGUAGCUGUGCUCCCCUGCUAGAACCUCCAAAGAAGCUCUCAAUGUCCUUUAUGACGAAAGACCAAGCAUGAUACAAUUUCUUUGCUGCCGUUUCCCUAGCAUAUCUUGUAGGCAGGACAAAUUAUAGGUCAG
rfam:Mesocricetus auratus contig120833, whole genome shotgun sequence.